AAGUCAAACUCACUCUAACUUCAGUUUCUCCUCUUAUGAAUAUACUCUUAACACCGACGCUUGCAAUACAGAGAUAGGGAAGGAGAAAAAAAAAAACCUUGCGAUACAGAAGAAGGAGACAGAGUUCGUACCCGCCCCGCCACCGUCCGUUCCAUUGCCAGAAUUAUACCACUCAAACCGGCACCGAUAACCUAAAGGUGCACACAGGAAUAGAGAUACGGACAUAGAGAGAACUACCACCGAGUGCAAACUUACCCACUUAGAUUUCUGCCACCAAGUCAGUUUAGAGUCAUAAGAGAACGAUCGUUACAUCGUUUGAAGAUUCUUUUAAUAACCGUUUGGAAUAAGUUGAUACAAAAGGAGAGAGGACGAUAGAGAGACGAAGAAGAAGGAUUAUUAUAUAAGAAGAGAAAGCCAAUGGAGCAUACACAGGUCAAGAAGGGAGAACGUUUUUAUGGUGAUUGGCUUUUUAAAUUGGCUUUUUGAUUGUUGAGUGGAACCAUGAAGGCAAGCGGAUAUAGAAGAUGUCCAUGAGACCAAAUGUAAGAGAGAGUUUGAGAGACAAGCAGCAUUGCAAGCAUUGGAGAUUUGUUGCCCAUCCAAAGAGAUUCACUGUAAGUCAUUAUUUUAGAGAGAGAGUCUGUAAUGCAAUGAGAGAGAAAUUUGAUGGCCCUGCCACUGCCUUCUCGGUCUUCUGCCACUGUCAUACUUUCAGAACCAUUACCGGUAAUUUUGUUCUAUCUACUUAUUUUUAAGUUAGGUGACAAAUAUGAUAUAGGAAUUAAUUUGUUAGAGUUGCUUCUGUUUUUCAUAUUUGUGUCUAAUUUAGUUUUGUUUUGGGUAUGUCAGUUAAAUUAUUAAUAUCUUCUGUAACAAAAACUGAAAUGACUUUUCAAUUUGUAACAUUUGGCUUGAUCUCCAACAGAAAACUCCUUUUAGCCUAUUUUUCCCCGAAACCAAACACCCAAAAACCUUAAACCAAAGAGAGCCAUAAUAGGAACAACUGGUCAUAAGUCACAACCACAACCCAUCCAAGCAUCUACAAUGUCAACAAUGACAAGAAUAGAAGGUAUGAUAAUAAAUGAUUUUGUUCUUUUGAUUAAAUCUAUAGAGCCCAAAAGUUUAAUGUUUUCACCUUACAUUACACUUUGUAUUAAUGAGCAUCCCGCUUAAUCCUAGAUUUACAAGUUGAAUGAUGUCACUUCUCAUUAGAUGGGGAGUCCAUAUGCUUAUAGGUGGGCUUGGUAGGAAGCCAAGAAGGUGAGCAGCUAGGUGGAUUAAAAUUGUUUCUUUUUGAAACAUUGUUCAAUGCUGUAGACAGUGAGGAAUGCAUACUUUAAUGCUGCUAUAGUCAAAAGAUUUAAAAAAAAAAA